UUCCUCGGCUCAGAGUUUGAAACGGACUGGCGGGCAGGCUUAACACAUGCAAGUCGAACGGUAACGAUAAAGAAAGCUUGCUCUUUGAUGACGAGUGGCGACGGGUGAGUAAUGCUUGGGAAUCUAGCUUAUGAGGGGGAGUAACUACGGGAAACUGUAGCUAAUACCGCGUAGUAUCGAGAGAUGAAAGUGUGGGACCUUCGGGCCACAUGCCAUAGGAUGAGCCCAAGUGGGAUUAGGUAGUUGGUGAGGUAAAGGCUCACCAAGCCGACGAUCUCUAGCUGGUCUGAGAGGAUGACCAGCCACACUGGGACUGAGACACGGCCCAGACUCCUACGGGAGGCAGCAGUGGGGAAUAUUGCGCAAUGGGGGCAACCCUGACGCAGCCAUGCCGCGUGAAUGAAGAAGGCCUUCGGGUUGUAAAGUUCUUUCGGUAGCGAGGAAGGCACUUAGUUUAAUAAACUAGGUGAUUGACGUUAACUACAGAAGAAGCACCGGCUAACUCCGUG
rnacentral:rRNA from 1 species